rnacentral:rRNA from 1 species
UGGGGAAUCUUGCACAAUGGGGGAAACCCUGAUGCAGCGAUGCCGCGUGAGUGAAGAAGGCCUUCGGGUUGUAAAGCUCUUUCAUCAAUGAUGAUAAUGACAUUAGUUGAAGAAGAAGCACCGGCUAACUCCGUGCCAGCAGCCGCGGUAAUACGGAGGGUGCAAGCGUUAAUCGGAAUUACUGGGCGUAAAGCGUGCGUAGGCGGUUUAUCAAGUCAGAUGUGAAAUCCCCGGGCUUAACCUGGGAACUGCAUUUGAAACUGGUCAACUAGAGUAUGGUAGAGGAAAGUAGAAUUUCUAGUGUAGAGGUGAAAUUCGUAGAUAUUAGAAAGAAUACCAAUUGCGAAGGCAGCUUUCUGGGUCAUUACUGACACUGAGGAACGAAAGCAUGGGUAGCGAAGAGG